rnacentral:rRNA from 1 species
AACGAACGCUGGCGGCAUGCCUAACACAUGCAAGUCGAACGAGACCUUCGGGUCUAGUGGCGCACGGGUGCGUAACGCGUGGGAACCUGCCCUUAGGUUCGGAAUAACUCCCCGAAAGGGGUGCUAAUACCGGAUAAUGUCUUCGGACCAAAGAUUUAUCGCCUUUGGAUGGGCCCGCGUUGGAUUAGCUAGUUGGUAGGGUAAAAGCCUACCAAGGCGACGAUCCAUAGCUGGUCUGGGAGGAUAAUCAGCCACACUGGGACUGAGACACGGCCCAGACUCGGACGGGAGGCAGCAGUGGGGAAUAUUGGACAAUGGGCGAAAGCCUGAUCCAGCAAUGCCGCGUGAGUGAUGAAGGCCUUAGGGUUGUAAAGCUCUUUUACCCGGGAUGAUAAUGACAGUACCGGGAGAAUAAGCUCCGGCUAACUCCGUG